rnacentral:lncRNA from 1 species
GAGCAAACCCCAUCCUACACGAGCCGUUGCUGGUGAGACCCAGCUGCGUACGCUGUGCUGCAGAGCAGGAUCAGCACUGCCAUCCAGACUCUGCCUGUGCCCGAUGCACAAAACCGUGCGUUUGAGGAAGUACUUCUGGAGUUUGAAAAGCAUUGCUGGGGUUUGAGCUGGCUGCGGGUGGAAGGACUGAGCCUGGAAGGAAACCCCGUGUGAAAUCCCCAGCCUGCUUUGCAGAUGUUGGGCUGCUUCUGGGUGAGAUUUCAGCUUUUACAGGCAGAUGUCUGAAACACUCCUGGUGGGCUCGGUGCCUCGCUGCAGUAAAUUCAGGGGGGAGCUGGAAGAAGUGGGGAGAGUCCUGAUACCUUCCAGGAGCUGUCUCAGGAGAGGGACUGGACCAGCCUGA